rnacentral:tRNA from 1 species
AAGGACGAAAAGCGGAGGCCGCCCGCCUAUCGGCGAAACGCGCUGGAGGGCCUGCGAGGAGGCUGUUGCCGCCGCAGCAGGACCGAAGCGUCGCGAGCCGAUGGCGGCCGGAGCUAGACAGUACGAAAAGCGGAAGCGCCGCGUUCGGCUCUCGAAGCCAAAUGUUCUUCACCCGGAGGGGUGCUGGCACCCCGAGGGGAAAGGUUAUUUGGCAGAAGAGAGCCAGGCGCUGGAGCUAGACAAGACGAAAAGCGGAGGCGAGCGUUUCGCCGCGAUGGGCAAAUGUUCUUCGCCUAGAGGGAUGUUUACAUCCCGAAGGCGAAGGUUAUUUGACCCCGAGCGGCGGCGAGCCGGAGCUAGACAGAAUUUCUUGACAAAACCUAUCGGUUUGAUUAUAAUGACGCUUGUCGUUUUGUUUAGUUUUGAGGGAACUUUCCCUCCAUGGGCCUAUAGCUCAGCUGGUCAGAGCGCACGCCUGAUAAGCGUGAGGUCGGUGGUUCAAGUCCACUUAGGCCCAUCGGUUGCGGGGCCUUAGCUCAGCUGGGAGAGCGCCUGCUUUGCACGCAGGAGGUCAUCGGUUCGAUCCCGAUAGGCUCCACCACUUUUCUUGAUUCGUUCCUUGAAAACUAGAUAACCGGAAAAGCGGAAGGCGAGUGUUUCGCCGCGAUGGGCAAAUGUUCUUCGCCCGCAGGGGUGCUGGCACCCCGAGGGGGAAGGUUAUUUGACCCCGAGCGGCGGCGAGCCGACGCUAGACAAUAAGGAAGAAGCCGAGAGCGCUGUA